GUUCAAAAUUUGUACCUCCUUCUCCAAACUAACCCUAAUUUCAAUAUUUUCCCCCAAUUUCAUCUCAAAGCUGCAAAUUCAACAUAGCUGGUUUGUCACUUUUUCCCUACUUUCGCGCAAAGGGUUGAUUAUGCUCAUAGCUAUCGCUUGACAUUGCUUUGAUUUCCAAGUUCUACAAAGCUAAAAAGGAAAAGAAGAUUUCGAGACAUGAAUUGAUACAAAAAGUGAGACAAAUUGCUAGAGACAAGUUGCUGAUUUCGGCCAUCAAGUCUUACAGAACAAAGGAAAUAUGUCUACCGAAGGCGAUGAACCCGUAAUGCAAAUUGAGGAUUCAGUUGACAGUUCAGUCCCUAGUUCGAAAAGAGCAAAAACUUCUACUGCUUGGGAAUGUUUUUAAAAGUUUGUUGAUGAUGAAGGACUCCCAAAGGCCAAAUGCAAAAAUUGUUCUUUAACUUGAAGAUGAGCAAUGAUAAGAAAAGUUUUGGCAUGCAAAGAAGAGGUGGAAAGGUGAAGAAAUUGAGUGGCUCUAAUCAGUUGGAAUUCUCUUGUAGCUUAAGGACUUUGAUUUUAUGCAACUUGAAUUCAACUUGUUUCAACUUGGGAUAUGUAGCUAGUAGUCUAGUAUUGUAUGUAAUCUUGAAUUUGAAUCUUGUUUCACUUAUAAAUUCUCUUUUGUAA